UACGUAGGGGGCUAGCGUUGUCCGGAAUCAUUGGGCGUAAAGCGCGUGUAGGCGGUCCGGUAAGUCCGCUGUGAAAGUCGGGGGCUCAACCCUCGGAUGCCGGUGGAUACUGUCGGGCUUGAGUACGGAAGAGGCGAGUGGAAUUCCUGGUAUAGCGGUGAAAUGCGCAGAUAUCAGGAGGAACACCAAUUGCGAAGGCAGCUCGCUGGGACGUUACUGACGCUGAGACGCGAAAGCGUGGGGAGCAAACAGG
rnacentral:rRNA from 1 species